GGUGGUUUAGUGGGUAGAGCCUCCGCCUCUGAUGCAGAAGGUCGUGGGUUCGAUACCCGGUCCAGUCA